rnacentral:rRNA from 1 species
UGGCGGACGGGUGAGUAACACGUGGGUGACCUGCCCUGGAGUGGGGAAUAACGUUGGGAAACCAGCGCUAAUACCGCAUACGCUCCGCCCUUCGUGGGGCGGAGGAAAGCUUGAUGCGCUCAAGGAGGGGCCCGCGGCGGAUUAGCCAGGCGGUGGGGUAACGGCCUACCGCGGCCACGAUCCGUAGCUGGUCUGAGAGGACGGCCAGCCACACUGGGACUGAGACACGGCCCAG